GCUACAGCAAAUGCAUGCAUUAAUUGUAGGACAGGAGUCAUGGACGUAUCGUUUGGGAAUAAGAAACUGAGACUAAAUGUGUUUGGUGCUUCCCAAGGACCAUCAAUGGAUAGUUGCUUCGAAGUAGAUACACUAGAAGAUAUUAUAGAAGAUGCAACACCCAUAAUUCUAGCACCAGAACCCUUAGAUACUUGCUUGGCUCACUUUGGAGUGUAUGACUUU
rnacentral:lncRNA from 1 species